GCGAGCGGGAGGGCGGCUUCCCAGCCCCUUGAGGGCUGGAGGAAACUCCGCCCACCAGGUGGACCGCGGCGCCGUAAGGCGCUGGGGGGAGACCCCCAAGGCCGGAGCAGAAACGACACGUCCCAACCCUCAUGGCUAUGAUGAGAUGCCAUCCAAGUCUUGGAGGACGGGUUGGGGAGCGUUGAAACGGCCGGCCCGCGGGGUGCAAGGGCAAAUAGGCGCCGAUGAAGCCCACCUGAGGUGCGGGUAGCCCGCAAAGUCGCAUGCCGCCCAGAACAGAAGGCGGGUUACUCCCCGCACGC
rnacentral:RNase_P_RNA from 1 species